rnacentral:rRNA from 1 species
UACAGAGGGUGCGAGCGUUGUCCGGAAUCACUGGGCGUAAAGGGCGUGUAGGCGGCUGGAUAAGCCGCGUGUGAAAUCCCGGGGCUCACCUCCGGAACUGCUCUGCAUACUGGCAGACUUGAGGGUCGGAGAGGUUUGUGGAAUUCCUGGUGUAGCGGUGAAAUGCGUUGAUAUCAGGAGGAACACCCAUGGCGAAGGCAGCAAACUGGCCGGCAUCUGACGCUGAGGCGCGAAAGCGUGGGUAGCAAACAGG